UACGUAGGGGGCAAGCGUUAUCCGGAUUUACUGGGUGUAAAGGGAGCGUAGACGGUUAUGCAAGUCAGAAGUGAAAGCCCAAAGCUCAACUUCGGGACUGCUUUUGAAACUGUGUAACUAGAGUGCAGGAGGGGUAAGCGGAAUUCCUAGUGUAGCGGUGAAAUGCGUAGAUAUUAGGAGGAACACCGGCGGCGAAGGCGGCUUACUGGUCUGUAACUGACGUUGAGGCUCGAAAGCGUGGGGAGCAAACAGG
rnacentral:rRNA from 1 species